GACGAACGCUGGCGGCGUGCUUAACACAUGCAAGUCGAACGGAAAGGCCCUGCUUUUGUGUGGUUCUCGAGUGGCGAGCGUGUGAGUAACACAUGAGUAACCUGCCCUGGACGGUGUGAUAACUUCAGGAAACUGGUGCUAAUACCGGCUACGUGCUCCUGCUGCAUGGGGGGGGUUGGAACUUUUCGGCGGAUGUGGAUGGACUCGCGGCUUAUCAGCUUGUUGGUUGAGUAGUUGCAUACCAAGGCUUUGGCAGGUAGCCGGCAUGAGAGGGGGACCGGCCACAUGGGGACUGAGAUACGCCGCAGACUCGAACGGGAGGCAGUAGUGGGGAAUAUUGCACAAUGGGCGGAAGCCUGUGGAGGCAACGCCGCGUGCGGGAUGAAGGCCUUCGGGUUGUAAACCGCUGUCGCCUGUGACGAAGCGUGAGUGACGGUAAUGGGUAAAGAAGCACCGGCUAACUACGUG
rnacentral:rRNA from 1 species